CGAAAUAGCUCAAUUGGUAGAGCAACUGUCUCGUAAUCAGUAGGUUGUAGGUUCAAGUCCUAUUUUUGGC
rnacentral:tRNA from 1 species